rnacentral:rRNA from 1 species
AACGAACGCUGGCGGCAGGCCUAACACAUGCAAGUCGAACGAAGUCUUCGGACUUAUUGGCGCCCGGGUGAGUAACACGUGGGAAUAUACCUUACGCUGGGGGAUAACAUCGGGAAACUGAUGCUAAUACCGCAUACGCCCUUCGGGGGAAAGAUUUAUCGGCGAAAGAUUAGCCCGCGUCCGAUUAGCUAGUUGGUGAGGUAAUGGCUCACCAAGGCUCCGAUCGGUAGCUGGUCUGAGAGGAUGACCAGCCACACUGGGACUGAGACACGGCCCAGACUCCUACGGGAGGCAGCAGUGGGGAAUAUUGGACAAUGGGCGCAAGGCUGAUCCAGCCAUGCCGCGUGAGUGAUGAAGGCCUUAGGGUUGUAAAGCUCUUUCAACCACGACGAUGAUGACGGUAGUGGGAGAAGAAGCCCCGGCUAACUUCGUG